rnacentral:rRNA from 1 species
UACGUAGGGACCGAGCGUUGUCCGGAUUUAUUGGGCGUAAAGAGCGUGUAGGCGGUCAGGUAGGUCUGCUGUGAAAACUCGAGGCUCAACCUCGAGAUGUCGGCGGAAACCAUCUGGCUAGAGUCCGGAAGAGGAGAGUGGAAUUCCCGGUGUAGCGGUGAAAUGCGCAGAUAUCGGGAAGAACACCCGUGGCGAAGGCGGCUCUCUGGGACGGUACUGACGCUGAGACGGCGAAAGCGUGGGGAGCGAACAGG